rnacentral:sRNA from 1 species
UGCCAACCGGGUGUCUGCACUAAGUUCGGCAUCAAUAUGAUGACCUCCCGGGAGCAGGGGGCCACCAGGUUGCCUAAGGAUGAGUGAACUGGCCCAGAUCAGAAAGGGAGCAGGUCAGAACUCCCACACCAACCGCUAGUGUGACUGUGCCUGGGCA